GCCGACGUAGCUCAGUUGGUAGAGCAACUGAUUCGUAAUCAGUAGGUCGGAGGUUCGACUCCUCUCGUCGGCA
rnacentral:tRNA from 1 species